rnacentral:lncRNA from 1 species
GUUUUUUAAAAUGGUUUUGAAUUAAAUUAAAAGACAACAACUUUGCAUUAUUAACAAAUGAAACUAUGAGUAUAACAUAAAAAGAAAAUGUUAAAAGAAAUAAAAUACUAAAAUAAAACGCUAAAAGGAAAAAUUAAAAUAAAAUAACAUACUAAACCAAAAAAAUACUACAUAUGAGUAUUAAACCCACCCCACUCAAAACUAGAAUACUGUCCUUCCCCAACAGACCACUCAUGAUUAUCUGCUACUGUGAUGCUACGUUAAAUAUAUAAACCAGGAUAAAAAUGAAAUAAAAAAAGAUUAAGAUAAAAAAUAAAAAGAACAAUAAAAGAAAAUACUAACAUAUAAACAUUUUUAUGUUUUUUUUUGUUUAUCUCUGUUAAAACAAAUUAAAUUAAAUUAAAUUAAAAAAGAAAAAAAAGAAAAAAAGAAAUGGGAACGAAGAAACAGACGCUCGUCUUCCUUCACCCUCUCCCCAACCUCACGAACUCACCAUUUCCACCCAACGACAUUCUCGUACGAACUCGCCUCUCUCGUCCCUCUUACGAAGUCGCUCGCAAUCAUCUCUCAAACCUU